CCAGACGGCCGGAUGGCCGCCUUCGGCGCUGCGGCGACGCGGCGCCGGGGGAGGAAAGUCCGGGCUCCACGGAAACACGGUGCCGGGUAACGCCCGGCGGGGGCGACCCCAGGGAAAGUGCCACAGAAAGCAAACCGCCCGGUCCGGCCUGCACGCCCGCCAGGGCCGCAGGCGGCGACCUCGUCGCCUUCGGCAGGCGCACCGGGCAAGGGUGAAAGGGUGCGGUAAGAGCGCACCGCGGCUCCGGCAACGGAGACGGCACGGUAAACCCCACCGGGAGCAAGACCAAGUAGGGACGGCACGCCGGCGGCAACGCCGGCAGGCGGAGUUUUCGCGCCGCCGUCCGGGUCGGUCGCGCGAGGCGCCCGGAGACGGGCGUCCCAGAUGAAUGGCCGUCGCCUGCUCGCAGUGCGGGUACAGAACCCGGCUUACAGGCCGUCUGGCGCC
rnacentral:RNase_P_RNA from 1 species